AAGCGCUGAAAGCAUAUAAGCGCCAAACAGGCCCCAAGACUAGGUAUCGUUGAGAUCCGUCGUAGACUACGACGUUGAUAGGCGGCAAGUGUAAAGCAAGUAAUUGUUG
rnacentral:rRNA from 1 species